rnacentral:rRNA from 1 species
GACGAACGCUGGCGGCGUGCCUAACACAUGCAAGUCGAACGAACAGACCAGGCGCUUGCUCCUCUGACGUUAGCGGCGGAGGGGAGAGUAACACGUGGAUACCCUACCUAUUAGACUGGGAUAAUUACGGGACACCGGAGCUAAUACCGGAUAAUAUAUUGCACCACGUUGUUCCAUAGUGAGAUUCGGUUUUGCUGUCACUAAUAGCUGCAUACCGGCCGAUUUAGCUAGUUGGGAAGUAAACGGCUUAUCAAGGCUACGAUGCGUAACCGACCGGACAGGGUGGUCGGCCACACUGGAGCUGAGACACGGUCCAGACUCCUACGGGAGGCAGCAGUAGGGAAUCUUACGCAAUGGGGGAGAGCCUGACAGAGCAACGCGGCGUGAGGGAUGAAAGUCCUCGGAUCGGAAAGCUCUGUUAGUAGGGAAGAACAAAUGUGGAAUUAACUGUGCAGGUCUUGACGGUACCGGGUCAAAAAGCCACGGCUAACUACGUG